UUUUUAGAAGGAAACUUUGAAACAUAUUCUUAUUUGGGCACUUUGGAUAUGUGGAGUUUAUAGUGCAACCGGCCUUUAACAGG
rnacentral:ncRNA from 2 species